UACGUAGGUGGCAAGCGUUGUCCGGAUUUACUGGGCGUAAAGCGUGCGCAGGCGGUUUUGUAAGCCAGAUGUGAAAUCCCCGGGCUUAACCUGGGAAUGGCAUUUGGGACUGCAAGGCUUGAGUGCGGCAGAGGAGACUGGAAUUCCUGGUGUAGCAGUGAAAUGCGUAGAUAUCAGGAGGAAUACCGAUGGCGAAGGCAGGUCUCUGGGCUGACACUGACGCUCAUGCACGAAAGCGUGGGGAGCAAACAGG
rnacentral:rRNA from 1 species